GAUGAAGAUCACUGCUCAGGGGCUGACGACCACUCAUCUUUCCGGAGAAGCGUCCUCAUGGUGCAGGCGGUCAAACCUCCACCUCUUUGAAGAGACCAAGCAGCUUGAUGACUGACUGGUUCUUUAUACUCAAGACCUCGUCCCGGAGCAGAGGACGGACCUAAGGCCCGCAGCGCAGCCGACUAGAGACUCCAUGUGGAACCGAGAAUAAGAUCUGACUUCAGCCAAUCAGCGGGAUGUCCUUGGAACAAGAGCCAAUGGCUGAAGGUGCUCAAACGCAUUCUUUUGACUCGCUCCUCUACUAUUGCUGUAAUCAAGCUGGAUGGCUAUUUUGCUCCUACUGACAAAAUCAAGUCUGCCACCUGGUGGCUGAGGGCGUAGCAACUCGGGGUACAUUGGAAACAUGAUAAGAAGAGCCUGUUUUUGAUGGUUGGAUCGUACACCUAAAUGUUUUUACAUCAAAAUAUCGCCGAACCCCAUGUUGGACAAUGCUUGUUUUCCUCCUUUCUAUGUUUAGCUUUGAUUUAUCCUUACCUUUUCUUGUGACCCAUUCCCCUUGGGUUCAAUUAAGUUGACCUCUCCUUCAGGCGACUUAAAGGGAGACCAGAUGUGCGGCAGCUGGGUGUCAUGGUGCAGAGACCCAACGCUGUACUGAACUACACCAGUGUGUCCUACUCCCAUAAACCCUGAGGAUCCCUGGAUGGCUACACCAGCACAAUAAUCCACACCCAACAUCAACACACAGUGCACACUCUAUAGAGCUCGUAAGUCCGCCCCUUGCGGCGGGACCUCGUGAGAUCGUAAGAUAUGACUGGGUUUCAAUGGAGAGAAAGUAAUUAUUUUCUCCAUUUUAUGUUGCACCACAUUUUGGGGGAAGAAUGUUUGAAUCAAUCUUUGUCAUUUAUUUCUGUACUCCAUAUCUGUAAUCCCAGCUGUUGUAUUUUAACACGGUAGCUGGGAACCCUCUUUAUAGGGAGCGACUAGAGGGACGAGGCUGGAAGCAAACCUGAGCCUGGAUUUUAACCUUCUUUCUAAACCUAAUGCCGCAAUUUAACCGCAAAUAAAGUGAGGCCUAAAGUAACUUGACUCUCUUACCUAAACUUGCUUGCCUAAACUCGCUUGUCUAAACUCGCUUGCAUAAAACCUAAACUCGCUUGCAUAAAACCUGAACUUGCUUGGCUAAACUCGCGUCGCUUGCCUAAUACCUGAACUUGCUUGCCUAAACUCGCUUGCCUAAUACCUGAACUCGCUUGCCUAAACUCGCUUGCCUAAACUCGCUUGCCUAAACUCGCUUGCCUAAACUCGCUUGCCUAAUACCUCAACUCGCUUGCAUAAAACCUAAACUCGCUUAGCUUGACUCGCUUGCCUGUACUCGCUUGGCUAAACUCGCUUGCAUAAAACCUAAACUCGCUUGCAUAAUACCUAAACUCGCUUAGCUUGACUCGCUUGCCUGUACUUGCUUGGCUAAACUCGCUUGCCUAAUACCUGAAGUCGCUUGCCUAAUACCUGAAGUCGCUUGCCUAAUACCCGAAGUCGCUUGCCUAAAACCUAAACUUGCUUGUCCAAACAUGUUACACAAAGUUAACCAUCCAUAAUCUUUAACCCAAACCAGACUUGUCCCUGGGUCGCUCCACUUUAAUUUAGAAGUUUCUUCUUUUACCUCAUCUGCGUUUUGAGUUUCAUUCUUUGAGGGCUUGAAGUGCUUUGGAGGAUAUUUGAACCUUUGUUUGCCGCAUCAAUAAACAUGCUUUAUCUUUA